GGGUUUCACUCCUGGAUUUACCAUUGACCACCCUCGCGGGUGGCAAGUUUUGGUGUCAGAUCCAGCCUGCACUGAAUCGGGAGCACCAUCUGCGUAGGCUUGGGGUUUAAGGCUUGCGCCGCCUACGGUCUUGGACAGCCCCCGCAUGGCAGGGACCCCAAUAAGUGGCAUGCUCCAGAGAGCAC
rnacentral:sRNA from 1 species